UACAGAGGUCUCAAGCGUUGUUCGGAUUCAUUGGGCGUAAAGGGUGCGUAGGCGGCGCGGAAAGUUGGGUGUGAAAUCCCUCGGCUCAACCGAGGAAUUGCGCUCAAAACUACCGUGCUAGAGGGAGAUAGAGGAAUGCGGAACUUAGGGUGGAGCGGUGAAAUGCGUUGAUAUCCUAGGGAACACCGGUGGCGAAGGCGGCAUUCUGGAUCUCAUCUGACGCUGAUGCACGAAAGCUAGGGUAGCGAACGGG
rnacentral:rRNA from 1 species